AACGAACGCUGGCGGCAGGCCUAACACAUGCAAGUCGAGCGGACCUUUCGGGGUCAGCGGCGGACGGGUGAGUAACGCGUGGGAAUAUGCCCUUCUCUACGGAAUAGUCCUGGGAAACUGGGGGUAAUACCGUAUACGCCCUUUGGGGGAAAGAUUUAUCGGGGAAGGAUUAGCCCGCGUUGGAUUAGGUAGUUGGUGGGGUAAUGGCCUACCAAGCCGACGAUCCAUAGCUGGUUUGAGAGGAUGAUCAGCCACACUGGGACUGAGACACGGCCCAGACUCCUACGGGAGGCAGCAGUGGGGAAUCUUAGACAAUGGGGGCAACCCUGAUCUAGCCAUGCCGCGGGAGUGAUGAAGGCCUUAGGGUUGUAAAGCUCUUUCAGCUGGGAAGAUAAUGACGGUACCAGCAGAAGAAGCCCCGGCUAACUCCGU
rnacentral:rRNA from 1 species